UUAUGGCGUCAGGAUGAACGCGUGCGGCGUGCUUAACACAUGCAAGUCGAACGGAGCCUGACCUUCGAAGCUUCGGGUGGAAGAGGUUGUGCUUAGUGGCGGACGGGUGAGUGACGCGUGGGUAAUCUGCCGUAUACAGGGGGAUAACAGUUGGAAACGACUGUUAAUACCGCAUAAGCGCACAGGUAGGCAUCUACCGGUGUGAAAAGCUCCGACGGUAUACGAUGAGCCCGCGUCUGAUUAGCCAGUUGGCAGGGUAACGGCCUACCAAAGCGACGAUCAGUAGCCGGCCUGAGAGGGUGAACGGCCACAUUGGGACUGAGACACGGCCCAAACUCCUACGGGAGGCAGCAGUGGGGAAUAUUGCACAAUGGGGGAAACCCUGACGCAAGCGACGCCGCGUGAGUGAUGAAGUAUUUCGGUAUGUAAAGCUCUAUCAGCAGGGAAGAAAAAGUGACGGUACCUGACUAAGAAGCCCCGGCUAACUACGUGCCAGCCGCAGC
rnacentral:rRNA from 1 species